rnacentral:rRNA from 1 species
GACGAACGCUGGCGGCGUGCUUAACACAUGCAAGUCGAACGGAAAGGCCCGGCUUUGGUGCGGUGCUCGAGUGGCGAACGGGGGAGUAACACGUGAGUAACCUGCCCUUGACGUUGGGAUAAGUUCAUGAAACUGGGGCUAAUACCGGAAAGGAGAACCUGCUGCAGAGUGGGGGUUGGAAGGUUUCGACGGUGGGGGAUGGACGCUCGGCUAAUCAGCUUGUCGGUGGGGGAUUGGCUUACCAAGGCUGUGACGGGUAGCCGGGCUGAGAGGGUGACCGGCCACAUUGGGACUGUGAUACGGCCCAGAGUCCUACGGGAGGCAGAAGUGGGGAAAAUUGCACAAAGGGCGGAAGCCUGAUGCAGCAACGCCGCGCGCGGGAUGACGGCCUUCGGGUUGUAAACCGCUUUCGCCUGUGACGAAGCGUGAGUGACGGUAAUGGGUAAAGAAGCACCGGCUAACUACGUG